GAAUAACAUAGUACCACCUCGCCUAUCGACCCAAAAACGCAUAGAAGGGGAGGACUAUAUAAGGAGACCGCCUCUGGCCCUGGAGGAGACAAGAAAUUAUCAUAGAGAUUGAGGGGUGCCCUCGAAGGAAAACCUCUUCUCUAAAUAAUAUUUCUUUUUAGGCUUAGCAACCAAUGUAAAGUAGAAAUAGAUCUUCUAGUUUCUACUAGAUUGAGAGAGAUAGAGUGGAGGUG
rnacentral:lncRNA from 1 species